rnacentral:rRNA from 1 species
ACUCCUACGGGAGGCAGCAGUAGGGAAUUUUCCGCAAUGGACGAAAGUCUGACGGAGCAAUGCCGCGUGAGUGAUGAAGGUUUUCGAAUCGUAAAGCUCUGUUGUAAGGGAAGAAUAGCAAGAAUAGGAAAUGAUUCUUGUCUGACGGUACCUUACCAGAAAAGCCACGGCUAACUACGUGCCAGCAGCCGCGGUAAUACGGAGGGUGCGAGCGUUAAUCGGAAUUACUGGGCGUAAAGCGCGUGUAGGUGGCUUGUUAAGCCAGAUGUGAAAGCCCGGGGCUCAACCUCGGAAUUGCAUUUGAAACUGGCAGACUAGAGUACUGUAGAGGGGGGUAGAAUUUCAGGUGUAGCGGUGAAAUGCGUAGAGAUCUGAAGGAAUACCGGUGGCGAAGGCGGCCCCCUGGACAGAUACUGACACUCAGAUGCGAAAAGCGUGGGAGCAAACAGGAUUAGAUACCCUGGUAGGCUCUG